rfam:Brachypodium distachyon strain Bd21 chromosome 3, whole genome shotgun sequence.
UGUUUGCUGUGAUGAAUCACAAGGACGGUAUCUGAGUAAGGUGGCUCUUGAGAAAGUCCCCUUCCUUGAUUAUACACCCUCAACUGAUCAUUUAUUCUGAGCAAACA